UACGUAGGGAGCAAGCGUUGUCCGGAUUUAUUGGGCGUAAAGAGCUCGUAGGCGGUUCGAUAAGUCGGGUGUGAAAACUCUGGGCUUAACUCAGAAACGCCAGCUGAUACUGUCGUGACUGGAGUCUGGUAGGGGAGUGUGGAAUUCCCGGUGUAGCGGUGAAAUGCGCAGAUAUCGGGAGGAACACCAGUGGCGAAGGCGGCACUCUGGGCCAGUACUGACACUGAGGAGCGAAAGCGUGGGUAGCGAACAGG
rnacentral:rRNA from 1 species